rnacentral:rRNA from 1 species
AGAGUUUGAUCCUGGCUCAGGACGAACGCUGGCGGCGUGCCUAAUACAUGCAAGUCGAACGCUUCUUUCCUCCCGAGUGCUUGCACUCAAUUGGAAAGAGGAGUGGCGGACGGGUGAGUAACACGUGGGUAACCUACCCAUCAGAGGGGGAUAACACUUGGAAACAGGUGCAAAUACCGCAUAACAGUUUAUGCCGCAUGGCAUAAGAGUGAAAGGCGCUUUCGGGUGUCGCUGAUGGAUGGACCCGCGGUGCAUUAGCUAGUUGGUGAGGUAACGGCUCACCAAGGCCACGAUGCAUAGCCGACCUGAGAGGGUGAUCGGCCACACUGGGACUGAGACACGGCCCAGACUCUACGGGAGGCAGCAGUAGGGAAUCUUCGGCAAUGGACGAAAGUCUCACCGAGCAACGCCGCGUGAGUGAAGAAGGUUUUCGGAUCGUAAAACUCUGUUGUUAGAGAAGAACAAGGACGUUAGUAACUGAACGUCCCCUGACGGUAUCUAACCAGAAAGCCACGGCUAACUACGUGCCACCAGCCGCGGUAAUACGUAGGUGGCAAGCGUUGUCCGGAUUUAUUGGGCGUAAAGCGAGCGCAGGCGGUUUCUUAAGUCUGAUGUGAAAGCCCCCGGCUCAACCGGGGAGGGUCAUUGGAAACUGGGAGACUUGAGUGCAGAAGAGGAGAGUGGAAUUCCAUGUGUAGCGGUGAAAUGCGUAGAUAUAUGGAGGAACACCAGUGGCGAAGGCGGCUCUCUGGUCUGUAACUGACGCUGAGGCUCGAAAGCGUGGGGAGCAAACAGGAUUAGAUACACUGGUAGUCCACGCCGUAAACGAUGAGUGCUAAGUGUUGGAGGGUUUCCGCCCUUCAGUGCUGCAGCAAACGCAUUAAGCACUCCGCCUGGGGAGUACGACCGCAAGGUUGAAACUCAAAGGAAUUGACGGGGGCCCGACAAGCGGAGGAGCAUGUGUUUAAUUCGAAGCAACGCGAAGAACCUUACCAGGUCUUGACAUCCUUUGACCACUCUAGAGAUAGAGCUAUCCCUUCGGGGACAAAGUGACAGUGGUGCAUGGUUGUCGUCAGCUCGUGUCGUGAGAUGUUGGGUUAAGUCCGCAACGAGCGCAACCCUUAUUGUUAGUUGCCAUCAUUUAGUUGGGCACUCUAGCGAGACUGCCGGUGACAAACCGGAGGAAGGUCGGGAUGACGUCAAAUCAUCAUGCCCCUUAUGACCUGGGCUACACACGUGCUACAAUGGGAAGUACAACGAGUCGCUAGACCGCGAGGUCAUGCAAAUCUCUUAAAGCUUCUCUCAGUUCGGAUUGCAGGCUGCAACUCGCCUGCAUGAAGCCGGAAUCGCUAGUAAUCGCGGAUCAGCACGCCGCGGUGAAUACGUUCCCGGGCCUUGUACACACCGCCCGUCACACCACGAGAGUUUGUAACACCCGAAGUCGGUGAGGUAACCUUUUUGGAGCCAGCCGCCUAAGGUGGGAUAGAUGAUUUGGGUGAAGUCGUAACAAGGUAACC